GAGGCCAGGCAGUCGGCGCGGCAGUCCGUACCGUGCUUUCUCCGAUAGGCGACGACGAGGACGCCGCGGUGCGCGAGCUAGCGCAAGCUCUUGUCGCGCGGCGUCACCAGUAGUUUCCCAUCCGCGCUCUACCGGCGGGCAGCCAUGUGCGUCGAGUUCGUGAUCUUCGUGCGCAACCUGGGAGCCCUGGUCAGAGCCACGGUGGGAGGUCACUCCGUCGAUCGGCCACAGCCAAUGGACACACCCGAACUCGGCGGUCGUGCGGUUGAGCGAUCGAGUCGGGAGGUGGGCACCAAGGUGAAGGAGUCCUAGGCUGUGACGUAGCCGUGGCCGGUGCAGCUGCGGGUACCCUCCUCGUUCGUGACCACUGACACCACUACUACACCACCACCUUCCGCUGGUUCCCGGUACGGCGAGGCCUGCGCGGGGCACGUGACUUUGCCAUCUUUUGGGCAGAAACCAACAUCUCCGGCGCCGGGCUGCCCACCGCAUCGCGGGCGGAAUCGUCGGUUGUAAAACACGAUGGUUGUUACAUUGAUGGUUGUAAAAGCAUGAGAAACGUAGCACCCACGUGGUCUCACGUACACACCCACACACCUUCGUCACACGGCAGAGUUUGAACUUUCGUACUUUCAAUCAAAGCGCCGAUAUAGAACGAGACAGGUACCGAAAACGUUUAGUAAUGCGGUCCGGUAAUUCCAUAUGUUUGCGGCGUCACCCUCGAGGAAAUGGUGCGGAAUCUGCGCUGGUGUGCUCCCCGUGUCCAAGUCGUGAAGAAUAACGCUGAAAACAUACGAAAUUAUUCAGCUGUCUACGGAAAUGGUACAAGGGGGAAAAGAGUGAGGAGGUGGCAGUGCAACUGAAAAACCGCAGCACAUAGCUUGUUACUGCACGGUCAGAGACAGAACGGGGACGUUACAGAAUAUCCUCCUGGGACCGGGCAAUAGGAAAUUUGUCCAACAAUUGUCACAAUCAAAAUCUUGGUGCAACAGUUCUGAAAGCAUCUCUUGAGACCACACUCAAACACGUUAGUCAGCUGGUACUACCAUGCCAAUACCACUACCUGCGCCGCAAGCCUGUGAGUAUGGUCUAAAUCACAUUGCUCCACGCCUUACCUCUGAGUUCCCAAUCUGGUAGGAAUCACCACGAUUGCGUUUUGCUGUGACUGUCGGGUCCGUUAGUACGUGUAGGCGCAUUUUGGCAUGUACUUUCACAUCGUUUAAGGGGACACUAAAGAUAAAUCCAAACGUACGAUCUUUUAGUGAAUCACACUUUACGCGACAGGCAGGACGUCCGCAUUGACUACGAGCGGAGGCUUGGUAAUACGGACAAGGGGCGCUAAACCUAGACUGGUGGCGACGCGGGUCCAGUUAAUAAUUUCGUGAUAAGUAAGGACCACCGUUGCACUAUAUAGAAACCAACUACUCAAACUAGCAGUUCUCGAUUACAUUACCGGCUGUAAUAUAGCCCAAAUUCUAAAAUAUAUUUAGAAAUCUGUGGCCGCGCCCCGGCGUUGAGGUUAAUUCAGCGAAAUACAAAAGUGAAAUCCGGUCUUCGUUUCCUCUAUUAUUGAUCGAAAUUUUAUGCCAAGUAAAGGAAUAUAGCGUUUAGAUGUUGGCUCUCGGAUCCUCGAUGACGCCAUUUUAGCGCAUUUGUCAGUAUUGAUAACAAUACAACAAUCUCGCUGAAAGACGUAUUUGAGCGCAGAAAAGUACCUCCAGAUACACAGCGGACGAGGACCCAUCGUAAAUUUCGAAACGUCUGCACAGGCGGAGCUUUAUUUAUUUUAACUUUUUUAUUGGUUUUUGCCCAAAUUAGCAUAACUGGUGGGACGAAAUUCAGUUUGGCAUACCGUAGUAUAUAGGGUGUCCCAGCUAGCGUUAGCCAAUCCGUUCAACGAUAAAAAAAAAUUAUUGAUAAAGACAGGGCGCAAGAUACAGUCUUAAGACCUGCGCUGUUCGAUCAUCAGCGUUCUGACAGCCUAACACAGUAUAUCUGAAACCGUGUCUUGCACCAUUCCUUUCUUUUUUUUUUUUUUCAACGGCUUGGCUAGCGUUAGCUGGGACACACAGUGUAACGCAGCGCUUGCACGCUUGCACCCGCGGCCGACGUUGCCGUUAUCAAUCACGACACGGGCUGUAGGUGCAAAAAUCCGACUAAUUCAAAGUAAUAUGGUAUUGUGCUACGUGGUCAGCGACGGUCAGCGAGUGACGACGCAUUCGUGCUUUCGCCAUGCAAUGUUUCGGCGACAGAAACAGUCGAACCACUUGUCAAGCACGGCCUCCGAUUUCGGGCUGCGCGCGCCGACAUCAACCCAGUGGACAUUGCGUAGAUUGGCUUUCUCUUGUGUCUCACAAAGACGCAUCCGUCAUUUCGUGAGCUUCGGCCAUCCGAUGGCUCGAUCGCUGCGGCCAAAGUGGCAAUUUUUUCCGGUGCAAUAUUUGUUUGGUGCUUUUUUUAGUGAAUCAAGUGCGAAGUAUGCGUAUGCUGUAUCGUUUCUCUCUCGCACACGCUAGUUUGCGGCUGCAUAAGUAUGUCCCUCCUCCCGACGUUCGAGUGAUAUAACGUUGUGCACCUAAUGAGUUAGUGUCUGCACUGGCUGUUGCUCAAGUUCGAUGUUCCAUUACCUGCACGGGGGUAGCUUUCACAACACGGUGGAGUAGGUAAAAAUGCGGGGCAUUCCAAUAAACCAAAGUGGAGAAAACGAUAGGAACGACACUGUAGCGUAGGUGUCGUGGCAUAGUUUCCCCGUUUGCUUAGCUUAAAUGCGAUAGCAGAACUACCUCUACUGUACCCGAGAUCUCAUUCAGUCGUCGACAACUGCCGUGUGGCGCAGGGUUUGUCGAACCUAUACAGACCACACAUAAAGACACAUAGUGAAAGUUAUAAAAAAAAAACCAAAGCAUCGUCAUUCGCCUCCUGUCUUGUCGGCGUCACAUAUCUGUCGUGUAUGCGCCCCAAUCCAUGCCCGCGGACUGCGUAGUGCCCCCGCCCCGCUCACUGUGUGGUCUUGUGUACUUUUGUGCCACCCGGCACCUAUUGUCUCGGUUGCUCGUUGGUGAUCAUCAUCGCACCCACUUGUAUCCCCUCACCCCUACCCCCCUCCCUCCUUACGCGCUCAAGUUUGAUGGAUCCUUUGUGAACGAGAGUGACGACGAGCCGCCGCCGGUCAGAUGCAUCCAAAGUAACAUGUGUGCACCCACUACACUAACACGUUGUUUACAACUCCGACUACUGUGCACCAGUUGUUGUUCGUCGUGCAUAGAGGAAAGAAUAAAGGCCGUCUCCUGGUUGUCAA